GCGUCGGUGGUGCAACGGUUAGCAUUCGCUUCCGAAAUGAGUGAAAUCUAGGCUCAAAUCCCGGCUGACGCA